GCAAAAACCCUGUCACCGAGAAGCAGCAGGGCGCUGACCAGUCCCUGCCACGUAGGAGACCCUUUCUGACCGCAGAUUAUGGAUCUUCCUCAGAGACAAAGGAUACACUGAAGCUUGGAAAAUUCCUGCCAGAGGGUUUCUACACGAGAGGGCACGUGAGUUCCUGAUCCGCAAUGCUGAGGGGCAAACUGCCAUGAGGUAUCUGCUAUCUAGCCAGGCUUUCCGAGGCGGCUAAUAGGCACUGAGUGACGACUUCUGCCGAGUGAGCCAAGGAGGCUCUGGAGGACAAAGAUACAGGAAUGAAAACAAAGGCAUCCAAACCCUGAGCCAUUUAGAAGAGUAAGAAGCCAAAAUCCAUGCCAGAGGUCCAGCUGCUGGGGUUACUUAGGGCUUCAGGAAGGCCCACCCUGUGCCUGAAUCUCCCCUGUGGACUGGAAAUCCUCCUUCUGGACUCCUUUCCCAGGUCCUUCCAGGACAGUACUUACUUACAGGGAACUGCAGAUCGGUGAGUGGGGAGAGGGGAACGUAUUUUUGAUUUCUUUUUUGCCCCCUACUAGUAUGAAUGCAGGAGCAGUUUUCUGGAGGGUGGAGCAUCUGACCCCUCUAAUUUUAUCAGUGAGGGUGCAGAUGUAUCUUUUCAAAGCUGUUUUCAAAGUGACUCU
rnacentral:lncRNA from 1 species